rfam:Ovis aries breed Texel chromosome 3, whole genome shotgun sequence.
UCCCUGAUAGCUCAGUUGGUAAAGAAUCUGCCUGCAAUGCAGGAGACCUCGGUUUGAUUCCUGGGUUGGGAA